UACGUAGGGUGCAAGCGUUGUCCGGAAUUAUUGGGCGUAAAGAGCUCGUAGGCGGUCUGUUGCGUCGGCUGUGAAAACCCGAGGCUCAACCUCGGGCCUGCAGCCGAUACGGGCAGACUAGAGUUCGGCAGGGGAGACUGGAAUUCCUGGUGUAGCGGUGAAAUGCGCAGAUAUCAGGAGGAACACCGGUGGCGAAGGCGGCGACCUGGUCCGAGACUGACGCUGGAGGCGACGAAAGCGUGGGGAGCAAACAGG
rnacentral:rRNA from 1 species